CGACCGGCGCACGGGUGAGUAACGCGUAUCCAACCUGCCUUACACUCUUGGACAGCCUUCUGAAAGGGAGAUUAAUACAAGAUGUUAUCAUGAGUAAGCAUUUUUCGCAUGAUUAAAGGUUUACCGGUGUAAGAUGGGGAUGCGUUCCAUUAGAUAGUAGGCGGGGUAACGGCCCACCAAGCCUUCGAUGGAUAGGGGUUCUGAGAGGAAGGUCCCCCACAUUGGAACUGAGACACGGUCCAA
rnacentral:rRNA from 1 species